rnacentral:rRNA from 3 species
ACGACUCUCGGCAACGGAUAUCUCGGCUCUCGCAUCGAUGAAGAACGCAGCGAAAUGCGAUACUUGGUGUGAAUUGCAGAAUCCCGCGAACCAUCGAGUUUUUGAACGCAAGUUGCGCCCAAAGCCUUCCGGCCGAGGGCACGUCUGCCUGGGUGUCACGCAACAU